rnacentral:rRNA from 1 species
GCCUAGCCGUAACAUACAAUUAAACCACCAAUUGUCCGCCAAACAACUACGAGUUAUACUUAAAACUUAAAAGACUUGACGGUGCUUCACCACGCCCUAGAGGAGCCUGUCUAAUAACCGAUAAUCCACGAUUAACCCAACCCCCUCUAGCCUAACAGUCUAUAUACCGCCGUCGCCAGCUUACCUUGUAAAAGAAAAAAAGUGAGCUAAAUAGUGCCACACUCAAACGACAGGUCGAGGUGUAACUAAUGAGAGGGACUAAGAUGGGCUACAUUCUCUCAACCGAGAAUACGAACAACACUGUGAAAUUAGUGUUUAAAGGCGGAUUUAGCAGUAAGAUAAGAAUAAAACACUUAACUGAACAUAACGCAAUGAAGUGCGCACACACCGCCCGUCGCCCCUGUCACCAC